AUUGAACGCUGGCGGCAGGCUUAACACAUGCAAGUCGAGCGGAGAGGAGGUGCUUGCACCUUAUCUUAGCGGCGGACGGGUGAGUAAUGCUUAGGAAUCUGCCUAUUAGUGGGGGACAACAUUCCGAAAGGAAUGCUAAUACCGCAUACGUCCUACGGGAGAAAGCAGGGGAUCUUCGGACCUUGCGCUAAUAGAUGAGCCUAAGUCGGAUUAGCUAGUUGGUGGGGUAAAGGCCUACCAAGGCGACGAUCUGUAGCGGGUCUGAGAGGAUGAGCCGCCAAACUGGGACUGGAAAACGGCCCAGACUCCUACGGGAGGCAGCAGUGGGGAAUAUUGGACAAUGGGGGGAACCCUGAUCCAGCCAUGCCGCGUGUGUGAAGAAGGCCUUAUGGUUGUAAAGCACUUUAAGCGAGGAGGAGGCUACUGAGACUAAUACUCUUGGAUAGUGGACGUUACUCGCAGAAUAAGCACCGGCUAACUCUGUGCCAGCAGCCGCGGUAAUAC
rnacentral:rRNA from 1 species